UGUUCUACGGAUUUUUUGACCCGGAAGAUAAUAAGGAAGGUGCAGCUUCCAGCCCUCUCCACCCAUAGCAUACGCCCCCACCCAGUCACAUCACUGCUUCCCAACCGGGUCUGCACUUGGACUCAUCUUACUCAACCUGUGCCCCAGGCAUCCACCUUCCAGGGAUGGGUACAGACAAAGGAGGGGACCAGGCCACCAUGACUGAAAGGCAUUCUGUGGCACGCAGGACACGACAGGAAUGCAACGGAUCUUUGGUGAAUGAUUGAAAGAGUGGAAAUCACAAAUGACCAAACAGGUGUAGCAUUCGUUUUCAUGCUGGUGUUUUCCUCCUCCUCCACAUACAAUCCCUGGACUCCUGGCCCAGACUGACCGAGCACUCCCGCACAGUAGCUGAGUCAUGGAGGCAGUGAAAGGUGCCCAGAAUCCCCCGCACGGUGCCGAGGGUGAGCUGGUGCAUGCCAACUCAUUGCUCUGCGAAGCCCUGGGCUGCCACUGAGUCCUGCGGGAGCAGCGUUCUUUGCAAAGUGCUCCACAGCUCCAACCCCUUCCAGGAGCACAGCCUGGCAGAAACCACCAGGGUCUCUUCUCUCAGACUGUGGGAGCUGCCCAGUUGGAAGCUGUAGGGGGCAGGCAGCUCUUCCUCAUCAUCACAUUACCUGAAAUUCAGAAUCUCCACCGAAUUUCAGCAGCCUCACCAGCUAGUGUUCUAGCCUAGAGGUGCUCCGGUCCCUCCGCAAUUCACACCUUGGUGCUGCAGAAGCUUCAAAUGCAGUGCAGCUGGGAGCCACUUGGAGAACUUACUAUACACGAUGGUUUCUGCCUAAAUGCCCUUCUUCAUCACCCAGAAUCUCAAACAUCCUGAUUUCAGUGCUCUGCACUUUGGAAAACACUCAGUGUGAGGGUGAAGUGACAUUUUACCUAGCUUAGAGACACCACCUUCUUUCCCCAUCAUCUCUACUUCGGCUGCUGAAAGGUGGCAAUGUCAGAUACGAGCAGACAACGUGCGAUUCAGGUCGCUGAGCGGAAUGGGCUCACCACGCUGCAGAGUUACAUGUUCUGUUCACCCCUCCAAAUAUUAAGGCAUCCAACUUCUAGAUCUGGCCAACGAACCUCAGAAUGUUGUUUUGAGACAUUCAGAGCUCUAAUUCACUCAUCUUAAAUGGCACAAAACAGAGCUCCUGCUUCUCUCUCUUUGUGAAAGUACGGUUUUAAAAAUUAUAUGAUAAAUAUAUCAUUGCGAAGGAUUUUCAAGUUCUGUUCCUUUCUUUUCACCCUUGCUUCCUCUCCCAUCCCUUCUUUGCCUUCU